UCCACACACCAUCUCGAUCCCAAACUUCACCACAAAGUAUGAGGAGGCUAGCAUGAGGAGCAAGGAGUAACAACAAGCUUAGGAUCAGCCACAAUCAUCAAGGAUUCACCCAAGUCAAGGUGGUUCGCACGCACGCUGAAAGUCGGAACGAGGAAUUUUUACGGAAAACUUAAGCAUUUGAGUUAUGGGAGGACGCCGUUUCAUGGAAGCCCUCCUGAGUAUGCACGCCAGGUUUUGUUACGUACACAACGGUUAUCCGGCGAAACCAAUCCAUGUACUCAUCAGUUGCUAUGGGCUCCAUCGAGUACUCCGAAUCGGUCCACACCAUGUUGUGCCUUUUAUCCCAAUUUUGUAUAUGAGCGGCGUGCCACUCAACCCAAUUCCGGCCAGCUUUGCCUCGCCGAUCCUGUUUCACAAAAUCAGUUCCGUGGAACCGGUCGACAAGCGGGAUAUAUGGUUGGACAAUCCCAAAUUGUCGCAACACUCGCUGUGGCAAGUGUGGCUCAACCAUAUUCCAGCAAAUAAGUGUUGUGAUCAACGUUCAUAUAGGACGACCGGCAAUACAAACUUCCGGCAGAGUUCGCAUGACAUACGGCCUCCAAAUAAACUAAAUAUGAAACAAAUUUAGUCAAAACAAGUUCAAUCAAAACAGCAAACAAACAACAAUUUAGGUUACGUAAAUUAUUUGGUUGGCGUGCAUUCUAGAGAAUUGAUCUCUGAAAGUUUCAAUGCAAUGUCCGGGUGCUUUCACAUAAGAGGCCGAACCAUUCCAUCUACAAAAAUUAAAUUAUGAGCGAAUAACACGGAAAUUAAUAAAAAUAAUGCUUAAAAACAAAUAUUUAGUGAACAACUUACGCGAUUGCACAUGGUACGUAGUCUAUGGGCACGGGAUUAAGCAUCGUCGGUCUAAUAAUUGGGAUUCUCUCCCAAGCCCACAACUGUAACAGAGUAAGAGCUCCUCCGACAUCGGACCUCUUUGCAAGUGCAGCUUCACAAAGAUUGUGGUACAAGCAGGCAAGAGUCGCACCACCCCAGCUAUAGCUACCACAACGUCCUACAUCCAUGAAAAAUUGAAGGUAGAAGAAUGGAAUUUUAUUACCUGAGGCGUUCGGAAUUAACAGACCACCAAGUAAUAGCAGACAAUAAACACGGGCGCGUUGAACGUAUAUGUACUGGUCGUGGUCAUCAUUCAACUCAACCCUCAGUUGUUUUGAUAAACUCGUCUGCUUCCAAACCAGUUCUUUCAGCUCAACAGUAUCUGGUAUAAAGCCAAGAAAAUACAGACACGCUUGAGUCCAAUACCCGACAUCCUUACUGGGGAUAUAACCCGUCACAGCUUCCCCGUCAACUUUGAGGCCCCAUAAGACCUCCACGUCUUCCAAAGUCACUGUAGCUUCACCGACUGGAAAGUGAAACGUGUGAGUCUCUGGCCUCCAUCGUUCAAUUAAUGCGGUGAUAAGAUGGUGGUCAAUGUCUUUCGGUUGACCACACCUCAACAUCCCGAAAGUGAAAUGUAGUCGAGCAUCCCCUUGGUUUGAUGAACAGCCUUCUUUGGGAACUUGUUGCGAUGAAGCUUCCCAAAAACACUGUGUUCGCAGAAAUCCAGAUUCUUCACUUUAUGCCCAGAGAGAAGAUCACGGUUGGACAUAAUUUGCAUCCCUCGUUCCCCCAUCUGACCAAGCCUCAUAUGCCAUAGCUUUGUCAUACUCUCGGCCGGAAUCUCGGAUGAUGCAGUAUCAGCACAGCCUGUCAUGAUGGAAACUUUUAGAAUAUACAAGGUACCUGGAGUGACUGAGGGAGUGUGUGCGUAUGCGUGCUGUGUAAAUCAAACAGGUCCAGAGGAUUCACUCAACCGCUAGGUAUACCAAAUCUUAAAACUAUCAGAAUAUGUCGUUGGGACACUCUCAAUCGCUUCAAAACCUUAACCCAUUUACUAUUGGCUAGUAUAGGUUAGUAAGGAUCGAUCCCAUAGAGACGAAAGGGGUUAGCAAGUGUUCAGAGGAUCUGGAAGGGGUUGACUACUGCCACGCAACUCAUGGGUUAAGUUUGCUUUAACUACUAGACUUAGGAGAAUUUAAAGGUAACUAAUCUAACUACUAGACUUAUGAAACAGGAAAAGGUACGCACACAUGCAUGACUCACGGAAAUGAAAUUUGACUAGAGAAUUCAAAUAACUAAACUACUGGGCUAGGUAAACGGGUUUCCGAAAACAGCUAAACAAUACGUAAACAUGCAGUGGGGACCAUUUUCCCAAUUUAGCUACGAUGACAGAACAGCUGCAAAAAGUAAACAACGACCAGUGACAGAUCAGACUCUAACUAACUUCCAACUUCAUCUUCUUCAGUAAGCUAAGUAAACAUAAACAAAAAUAGAGCAUCAAACAUACGAAAACAGAGCAAUCUCAGAUCCGACUUCAAACCCUAUGACUAAACACCAAACUACUAGAUCUAAACUACUAGGUCUAGCAAAAUAAGAAAGCAACAGUAAACAUCCAUAACCAUGCAAAAUCAGAACAUCACCUCUCAGAUUCACAACUCCAAACUUCAAUUCAACUUAGAUCAACAAAAACCAACUCCACUACAUUCAGAUCCAUAUCUCCUCAGUUCAGAUUCAACAAAUUCAACCAUAAAUCAACUCCGAUCAACCUGAUCAACGAGUUCGUAUAUGUGGACUUCUCAAAUCUGAAUAGUAUGGACUAGAAAGUAGUUUCCAAUUUACCGUCACCCAUGCUGUGGGGACAAUAAUCCUAAGAAAUUACGAGUUUCAGAAGUCCAAACAGAAUUUUCGAGAUAGCUUGGUCUGGUUAUCAACUCAUUAGCAUUGUUAUGGGAAUGUAUUGUAGAAACGAGAUUCUGUAAUGCUAAAUCAGAUGGUCGUGCUUAGGCAACAUUUGGCGGCCAUGCCGUGCUGCGGUCUCUGGACUAUUCAUCGGUGUUGUGACCAGUAAAAAUGUUAAAAUUUUAAUGCGUAUUGACCUCUACUUGAAGGUACAAAAUUUUAAUUUUUACAGUUGUAAGAUUUUGAAAAGUUCUAUGGAUAAUCUCUUCAAUUUCGUUACAUAAGUUUAUGAAAAAUAGUAAAUCUUCUAUUUUGCAGUACAACCUAAACCGUCACAAUGUCACUCAAUCCUCUAUCUGCAGUUCUUAAAUAAAAAAAACUCGAGGGCCCAAAUUACAUAGAAUGAAAAUAAAUUUUGGACAUCGUUCUCAUGGUUGAUGAGUACAAGUUUGUGUUCACUACUCCACGGCCUCCAGUGCCGGUGGCUAAUGCCGCGCAGGUAGUGCGAGAUACGCAUAAACGGUGGCAUAAGGCAAAUGAGAUGGCUAAGUGUUAUAUAUUGGCCUCCAUGUCAACAGUGCUUACACAUCAGCAUGCUGCCAUGGCGACUGCAGCCGAGAUUAUACAAAAUCUCACAAAUCGUUUUGGUACUCAGAAUCGAAUGGCUAAGUCUCAAGAUUUUCAGAGUAUCAUGGCAAAGACUAUGAAGGAAGGCUCAUCUGUGCGGAACCACGUCCUCGAGAUGAUGAGCCACCUCAAUCAAAUUGAGGUUUUGGGAGGGACGAUUAUCCCGAGUCCCAAGUGACUAUCAUCCUUCAAAGUC